GCGGCGUGCUUAACACAUGCAAGUCGAACGGAAAGGCCCUGCUUUUGUGGGGUGCUCGAGUGGCGAACGGGUGAGUAACACGUGAGUAACCUGCCCUUGACUUUGGGAUAACUUCAGGAAACUGGGGCUAAUACCGGAUAGGAGCUCCUGCUGCAUGGUGGGGGUUGGAAAGUUUCGGCGGUUGGGGAUGGACUCGCGGCUUAUCAGCUUGUUGGUGGGGUAGUGGCUUACCAAGGCUUUGACGGGUAGCCGGCCUGAGAGGGUGACCGGCCACAUUGGGACUGAGAUACGGCCCAGACUCCUACGGGAGGCAGCAGUGGGGAAUAUUGCACAAUGGGCGGAAGCCUGAUGCAGCAACGCCGCGUGCGGGAUGACGGCCUUCGGGUUGUAAACCGCUUUCGCCUGUGACGAAGCGUGAGUGACGGUAAUGGGUAAAGAAGCACCGGCUAACUACGUGCCAGCAGCCGCGGUGAUACGUAGGGUGCGAGCGUUGUCCGGAUUUAUUGGGCGUAAAGGGCUCGUAGGUGGUUGAUCGCGUCGGAAGUGUAAUCUUGGGGCUUAACCCUGAGCGUGCUUUCGAUACGGGUUGACUUGAGGAAGGUAGGGGAGAAUGGAAUUCCUGGUGGAGCGGUGGAAUGCGCAGAUAUCAGGAGGAACACCAGUGGCGAAGGCGGUUCUCUGGGCCUUUCCUGACGCUGAGGAGCGAAAGCGUGGGGAGCGAACAGGCUUAGAUACCCUGGUAGUCCACGCUGUAAACGGUGGGAACUAGGUGUGGGGUCCAUUCCACGGGUUCCGUGCCGUAGCUAACGCUUUAAGUACCCCGCCUGGGGAGUACGGCCGCAAGGCUAAAACUCAAAGGAAUUGACGGGGCCCCGCACAAGCGGCGGAGCAUGCGGAUUAAUUCGAUGCAACGCGUAGAACCUUACCUGGGUUUGACAUGGAUCGGGAGUGCUCAGAGAUGGGUGUGCCUCUUUUGGGGUCGGUUCACAGGUGGUGCAUGGCUGUCGUCAGCUCGUGUCGUGAGAUGUUGGGUUAAGUCCCGCAACGAGCGCAACCCUUGUUCACUGUUGCCAGCACGUUAUGGUGGGGACUCAGUGGAGACCGCCGGGGUCAACUCGGAGGAAGGUGGGGAUGACGUCAAGUCAUCAUGCCCCUUAUGUCCAGGGCUUCACGCAUGCUACAAUGGCUGGUACAGAGAGUGGCGAGCCUGUGAGGGUGAGCGAAUCUCGGAAAGCCGGUCUCAGUUCGGAUUGGGGUCUGCAACUCGACCUCAUGAAGUCGGAGUCGCUAGUAAUCGCAGAUCAGCAACGCUGCGGUGAAUACGUUCCCGGGGCUUGUACACACCGCCCGUCAAGUCAUGAAAGUUGGUAACACCCGAAGCCGGUGGCCUAACCGUUGUGGGGGAGCCGUCGAAGGUGGGACUGGUGAUUAGGACUAAGUCAUA
rnacentral:rRNA from 1 species